rnacentral:misc_RNA from 1 species
UGCGGUUACUCCAAGUUCCGUACCCCCUCCAUUUUGGUCCAACCCGUUUUCGCUCAUCGGGUCCGGGUAUCUAGUCGGGUCACUAUCCUCAAGCUCCAUCCAACGGAUGCGGAAACCCUAUACCGCCGCCGAUACUCCACCACUGAGUUCUUCCCCCGCGACAUUGAUUCCGUUCUCAACAACCCUCUCAAUCUCGGUACCUUCCUCGCGGUUCCAAAAGGCCUUUACUCUGCCGAAACUUGGCCUGGUGUAGAAGAUUUCUUGGUUCAUCCGCCCGAGUCAUGGGCGUUGUUCAGUGUGUGGAACUGUAAGGACGUGUUCAAUUUAGAGGUUCGCGGCGCAUCGAGAAUGACGAAAUUCCUUGCUAAAACCACUCGUUUAGUGGACCGGGCUUUUCCAUGGCUGAAAUUGCCGUCGGUGCCGGAGGUAUUCAAGCCAUUUGGGCUUCACUUUUUGUAUGGG